UCUUUAUUUGUGAAACCGAAGGCAUUCGUUGUCCGAUGGUCAUGGAUUCCGAAGCUGACAAUGUGUUUCGAGCUCCUAUUAAUGAUACUCAGGAGCUCUAUUCUGAUUCCUCAAGAAGUGACACCACAUGCGAGGCAUUGAACGAGAAGCCUGCUAGCCCUUCAGAAGUUAUUAAACCACCAAUCCCUUCAAUGAACUUGCAACUCGAUUCUGCACCUCCUGAUGAUGUCUCUUCUGAUGAAGAGGACAAUGAAAAGGAAA